rnacentral:lncRNA from 1 species
GGGGUGCCCUCCCAUGGUGCCCAUCUUCACAGUGAGCAGAUCACCACAGGAGGAUUGUCUCACAACCUUGGAGUCCUUGCAUUUAUAUAAAAAAAAACAAACCAGUUAUGAUAACUAGGAAAGGCUGCCUCUUCAAGCACUCAACCUACUCUGGCCAGGUAUUCCCAACUGGGAAAUCAAAAACAAUGACCAGGCUUCAGAGAACUGCCAGAAACGACCAUUCUUCCACUGCAGAGCAGGGCGUGAGAAGCCACGGUACAGUCCUGGAUCAAUUGGUGGGCUUUGGGCAAAGGCAGAACUGAGUUCAGCCAUUUUCUGAUUGAAGCCCUCUGUCCGUUCAUCUGAGGCAGUAAAGAGAAGGCCUGGCACAAAGCUAAGCAGCACAACUUCCUUCCCUCUCUGACUUCACUGUAAUAUAUCAGGCCAGGUAUACUGGCUGGUUCUGUGUGUCAACUGACACAAGCUGGAGUUACCACAGAGAAAGGAGCCUCAGGUGAGGAAAUGCCUUUAUGAGACUCAGCUGUAAGGCAUUUUCUCAACUAGUGAUCAAAGCGGAGGACCCAGUACAUUGUGGGUGGUGCCAUCCCUGGGCUGGUGGUCUUGGGUUCUAUAAGAAAGCAAGCUGAGCAAGCCAGGGGAAACAAGCCAGUAAGUAACAUCCCUCCAUGGCCUCUGCAUCAGCUCCUGCUUCCUGACCUGCUUGAGUUCCAGUCCUGACUUUCUUUGGUGAUGAACAGCAAUGUGGAAGUGUAAGCUGAAUAAACCCUUUCCUCCCCAACUUGCUUCUUGGUCAUG